rnacentral:rRNA from 2 species
AGACCCGAAACCCGGUGAUCUAGCCAUGGGCAGGUUGAAGGUUGGGUAACACUAACUGGAGGACCGAACCGACUAAUGUUGAAAAAUUAGCGGAUGACCUGUGGCUGGGGGUGAAAGGCCAAUCAAACCGGGAGAUAGCUGGUUCUCCCCGAAAGCUAUUUAGGUAGCGCCUCGUGAAUUCAUCUCCGGGGGUAGAGCACUGUUUCGGCUAGGGGGCCAUCCCGGCUUACCAACCCGAUGCAAACUGCGAAUACCGGAGAAUGUUAUCACGGGAGACACACGGCGGGUGCUAACGUCCGUCGUGAAGAGGGAAACAACCCAGACCGCCAGCUAAGGUCCCAAAGUCAUGGUUAAGUGGGAAACGAUGUGGGAAGGCCCAGACAGCCAGGAUGUUGGCUUAGAAGCAGCCAUCAUUUAAAGAAAGCGUAAUAGCUCACUGGUCGAGUCGGCCUGCGCGGAAGAUGUAACGGGGCUAAACCAUGCACCGAAGCUGCGGCAGCGACACUGUGUGUUGUUGGGU